rnacentral:lncRNA from 1 species
GGAGUCCAUCGCUCUUGCACUCCACGAGCAUCUGCCGUGGAGACAGCAUGCAUCUCAGAUCACAGAGGAGCCACGAGAAGUGCACCUGCUCCUUCCGGAAGCCUUCUCACAGUGCUGAGUGUCAGUCUCGGAUUCAAAGAUGGUUCCCAAUAUAUGAAGCCCUCAGGGAAGUGGGACAGGGCCAAGGAGUGAGGUGCAGCAGCAAGAGAAAGUCAUCAGGAACAGGAGGUGUGAAGAAUGGGAUGUGA